rnacentral:rRNA from 1 species
UACGUAGGGGGCAAGCGUUGUCCGGAAUCAUUGGGCGUAAAGCGCGUGUAGGCGGCUCGGUAAGUCCGCUCUGAAAGUCCAGGGCUCAACCCUGGGAUGCGGGUGGAUACUGCCGAGCUCGAGUCCGGAAGAGGCGAGUGGAAUUCCUGGUGUAGCGGUGAAAUGCGCAGAUAUCAGGAGGAACACCGGUGGCGAAGGCGGGUCUCUGGGCCUGUCCUGACGCUGAGGCGCGAAAGCUAGGGGAGCGAACAGG